AACCCCCGAUAUUAGGCGGGGAAACAUGAUUAUGUGUCAUGUGUUUUCAGGUAGAUAGGAAAAGGAACCCCAACAUUCCAAAACCUCGGCGAAUCUUGCGCUCGGCCUGGGGCAGCAACCCUUACUUCCGCGGCUCCUAUUCAUACACGCAGGUGGGCUCCAGCGGGGCGGAUGUGGAGAAGCUGGCCAAGCCCCUGCCGUACACGGAGAGCUCAAAGACAGCGCCCAUGCAGGUGCUGUUUUCCGGUGAGGCCACCCACCGCAAGUACUAUUCCACCACCCACGGUGCUCUGCUGUCCGGCCAGCGUGAGGCUGCCCGCCUCAUUGAGAUGUACCGAGACCUCUUCCAGCAGGGGACCUGAGGGCUGUCCUCGCUGCUGAGAAGAGCCACUAACUCGUGACCUCCAGCCUGCCCCUUGCUGCCGUGUGCUCCUGCCUUCCUGAUCCUCUGUAGAAAGGAUUUUUAUCUUCUCUGUAGAGCUAGCCGCCCUGACUGCCUUCAGACCUGGCCCUGUAGCUUUUCUUUUUCUCCAGGCUGGGCCGUGAGCAGGUGGGCCGUUGAGUUACCUCUGUGCUGGAUCCCGUGCCCCCCUUGCCUACCCUCUGUCCCGCCUUGUUAUUGUAAGUGCCUUCAAUACUUUGCAUUUUGGGAUAAUAAAAAAGGCUCCCUCCCCUGCCCCUCAGCUUCCCUCUGGUUUUCUCA
rnacentral:sRNA from 1 species